UAGUGAGUUUGAUCCUGGCUCAGGAUGAACGCUGGCGGUCUGCUUAACACAUGCAAGUCGAACGGGACCUUCGGGUCUAGUGGCGGACGGGUGAGUAACGCGUGGGAACGUGCCCUUUGGUUCGGAAUAGCCCUGGGAAACUGGGAGUAAUACCGGAUGUGCCCGUACGGGGGAAAGAUUUAUCGCCAAAGGAUCGGCCCGCGUUGGAUUAGGUAGUUGGUGGGGUAAUGGCCUACCAAGCCGACGAUCCAUAGCUGGUUUGAGAGGAUGAUCAGCCACAC
rnacentral:rRNA from 1 species